UCUGGCUCAGGAUGAACGCUAGCUACAGGCUUAACACAUGCAAGUCGAGGGGCAUCAUGGAGUUGCUUGCAAACUCUGAUGGCGACCGGCGCACGGGUGAGUAACGCGUAUCCAACCUUCCCUAUAGUAGAGGAUAGCCCGGCGAAAGUCGGAUUAAUACUCUAUGUUUUCCGUUGCAGACAUCUAAGAUGGAACAAAGGCUUGCCGCUAUAGGAUGGGGAUGCGUCUGAUUAGGUAGUCGGCGGGGUAACGGCCCACCGAGCCAUCGAUCAGUAGGGUUCUGAGAGGAAGGUCCCCCACAUUGGAACUGAGACACGGUCCAAACUCCUACGGGAGGCAGCAGUGAGGAAUAUUGGUCAAUGGGCGAGAGCCUGGACCAGCCAAGUAGCGUGCAGGACGACCGGCCCUAGUGGGUUAGUAAACUGUCUUUUAUGGCGGGGAUAAAGUUCACUACGUGUAGUGUUUUGUAGGUACCGCAUGAAUAAGGACCGGCUAAUUCCGUGCCAGCCGCAGC
rnacentral:rRNA from 1 species